rnacentral:rRNA from 1 species
ACGCUCGACACCUACGGGAGGCUGCAGUGGGGAAUAUUGCACAAUGGGGGAAACCCGUGAUGCAGCGACGCCGCGUGAAGGAAGAAGUAUCUCGGUAUGUAAACUUCUAUCAGCAGGGAAGAAAGUGACGGUACCUGACUAAGAAGCCCCGGCUAACUACGUGCCUACAGCCGCGGUAAUCUGAGCGGGCUGGCAAGGC